rnacentral:tRNA from 1 species
GCCUUCGUGGUGUAAGGGUAACACACUCGACGCGUAUUCGAUAGGUCUACGGUUCGAGUCCCGGUGAGGGCA